GGAGAAGUCCGUUCGAUUGAGUGAAUUCUGUGAGCUCCACGUCUACUGGAUAAAGAUCCUGGUCCUGCCACGUCAUCGUCUCUGUCUCCCUCCCCAAAAAACUUGAGCAUCAAAUUCGAGUUCAGCGAGUUUUCGUUUUUUUUUUUUUCCUCUAUCUUAUUAAAAAAUACUUAUCACCAGCCAAAAUUGAAGAAGACAUUGCACAGCUGAUAUUCGUAAAGCUUACAUGGUAGAUGGCAGUUAAGUUUCAUCGGCCGGGUCUUGUAUCGUCAAGCUCUUCAAACCCUUGUCUUUCCCGGAUGUCCGUUGGAACCUUUAUUUCCUGCAGAAGAGUGCUACAAUUGGAUUAUAUUUCAAGCUGCUGCGAAAAUUCGAGGAGUCAAUUGUUUCUGACCUAUCAUGUUCUGGACAACAAGAACUACUUUCUUCAGAGAAAACUUUUUGGAAACAAGAAGAUGAGUUGGUAUAAAUCGCGGAGGACUAUGCAGUCUUUUCUCCUUGCAUCUGCUGAAGACGGAGUUGCUGUUAAUGGGGGUUCCCAGUCAACACCCAGCGAUGAUGUUGAGGAGAUGAGGGCAAUACUCAGUGGAUCACUACAAGAUGAAUACAGCUGUGGUGAACUCAUUCAGUCAUUGCAUGAUGCUGCCAGAACUUUUGAACUGGCACUUAAGGAGAAGAUUUCCUCUUCUAGAUUACCAUGGUUUUCAGCAGCCUGGCUGGGAGUUGAUAGAAAUGCAUGGGUUAAGACAUUUUCUUAUCAGGCUUCCGUCUACUGCUUACUACAAGCUGCAAAUGAGGUUUCAUCUAGAGGAAACAAUAGAGACGAUGAUCUUAAUGUCUUUGUGCAAAGGAGUUUAUCACGCCAAGCUGCUCCUCUUGAUUGUAUGAUGCGGGAUAAACUAUCUUCCAGUCAUCCUGAAGCCAAUGAGUGGUUUUGGUCUGAGCAAGUUCCUUCAGCGGUGACAUCUUUUGUGAAUUGUUUUGAGGGGGACCAACGAUUUGUUUCUGCAACUUCUGUCUACGUCAAAGGCAAGUCCUCAGCUGCAAGCAAUGAGAUUGAGGUGUCACUUCUCAUGCUUGUGCUGAAUUGCAUCGCAGCAGUGACAAAACUUGGCCCGACAAAAAUUUCGUGCCCGCCUUUCUUUUCUGUGAUUCCAGAUACUACAGGGAGAUUGAUGGACAAAUUUGUUGACUUUGUUCCGUUACCUCAGGCCUAUCAUUCAAUGAAAAGCCUCGGUCUUCGCAAAGAAUUUCUUGUUCAUUUUGGACCUCGGGCAGCGGCAUGCAGAGUAAAAAGUGACUGCGGUACAGAUGAGGUUGUCUUCUGGGUCGAUCUUAUACAAAACCAACUGCUGAGGGCUAUUGAUCGGGAGAAAAUAUGGUCAAGAUUAACAACGUCUGAAAGUAUCGAGGUUUUGGAAAGAGAUUUAGCUAUUUUUGGAUUCUUCAUUGCCUUGGGCAGGAGCACCCAGUCUUUUUUAGCUGCAAAUGGUUUCAGUUCGCUGGAGAAUCCUGUGGAAGACCUUGUUAGGCACUUCAUUGGGGGAAGUCUCCUACAAUAUCCCCAGCUUUCAGCCAUCAGUUCUUACCAGUUGUAUGUAGAGGUUGUCUGUGAAGAACUAGACUGGAUUCCUUUCUAUCCAACCAGAAAGGACUCCCAGCCAGCCGAACAAUCACACGGGCAUAAAAGCAGACCACAAGGGCCACCUAAUUAUGAUGCUCUUCCACAGAUAUUGAAUGUUUGCUCUUAUUGGCUACAGAGCUUUAUUAAGUACAGCAAAUGGCCUGAGAAUCCUUCUAAUGUCAAGGCAGCGAAAUUCUUAUCCAAGGGGCACAACAAGUUAAUCCAGUGCCAGGAAGAACUGGGAAUAUCAAGUUUAGCAGUAACAGAAGCGGGUUUUAUUGACAUGAACUCAUCCUCAACUGAUGGAGAGUCAAGUUCAUUUGACAAGGCUCUAGAGAGUGUAGAUGAAGCUCUCGCGAGACUGGAAAGCUUGCUACAGAAAUUGCAUGCAUCAAGCUCAGCUUCUGGAAAGGAACAAAUAAAAGCUGCUUGCUCUGACCUAGAAAAAAUAAGGAAGCUCAAGAAAGAGGCUGAAUUUUUAGAGGCAUCUUUCAGAGCCAAAGCAGCUUCCCUUCAAGAGGGAGGUGGUGACAGUGACUCUCAGGAGUACUCUAAGGAACAAAGCCAGUAUCUAAAAGGAAAAGACACAAAGAAUUCAAUAAAUUCUGUAGAUCAAGGCACAAAUAGGGAUCGUGGAUUUUGGGGGUUCUUUGUUCGCACUCCAAGAAGGAAGCCUGGCCCCGAGUCAUUGACAGAUGAAUAUUUUGAGAAAUCCAGAGAAAAUGUAGAUAGUGUGGAUUCCAACCCCAAUGAGAUCUAUCGGUUCGAACUUCUAAGGAACGAACUUAUAGAGCUGGAGAAGCGUGUCCAAGGAAGUACAGAUGAGUCGGUAAAUGAAGAGGGACGAACCUCUGAAGAUCUUCCUAAAUUAAGCAGCAGUAUGAAAGGUGUGCAGUUGGUUCAGAGCUCAAAGAAAGAAAGUGUCAUCGAGAAAACUCUUGACCAACUUAAAGAAACCACUACGGACGUGUGGCAAGGUACUCAGCUUCUUGCGUUUGAUUCAGCUGCUGCUAUGGAGCUCCUUCGGAGGUCUGUGGUAGGAGAUGAAUUAACAGAGAAAGAGAAGAAAGCCCUACGCAGAACCAUGACUGACUUAGCAUCAGUUGUUCCCAUUGGUGUUCUUAUGCUUCUUCCUGUCACAGCAGUUGGUCAUGCGGCUAUGCUUGCUGCAAUUCAGAGAUAUGUACCAGGCUUGAUACCUUCAACCUACGGAGCCGAAAGGUUGAACCUGUUGAGACAGCUCGAGAAGGUCAAGCAAAUGCAAACAAAUGAAACAGAGCCUGAAGAAGGCAUUGAUGAAACAGAAUCAUGACUAGAUCAAGAUACAUAAAUUCAUUCUAUACCUCAAGAAAUCACUUUGUUCUAUAGUUCAUUGACAAGAGUUGCGCAUAGAGAAUCUCAUUCCAUGUAUCUGGUACGCCGGGUAGGCACCAGUGGCUACAGUCUUGAGGAACAUCAACAGAAGUGCCUUGCUCUCGAUACCGAGAAAUAUGACCAUCUUUCCUGAACUCUGUCAGAUACGUUCCAUCUUCCUUUUAUCAGUCUCAGGCUCAAUCUCUGCAUCACAUAGACCACCCGAUUUCCAUGUCCCAUUUCUGAAACAACGAAGGAUUCAAAACUUUUAAA